UACCAGCACCCCGAGUGGUCGGGACGUUUAUUGGGCCUAAAGCAUCCGUAGCCGGUUCUACAAGUCUUCCGUUAAAUCCAGCUGCUUAACAGAUGGGCUGCGGAAGAUACUAUGGAGCUAGGAGGCGGGAGAGGCAAGCGGUACUCGAUGGUAGGGUAAAUCCGUUGAUCCAUUGAAGACCACCAGUGGCGAAGGCGGCUUGCCAGAACGCGCUCGACGGUGAGGGAUGAAAGCUGGGGAGCA
rnacentral:rRNA from 1 species